AUUGAACGCUGGCGGCAGGCCUAACACAAGCAAGUCGAACGAGUGGCGGACGGGUGAGUAAUGUCUGGGAAACUGCCCGCUGGAGGGGGAUAACUCCUGGAAACGGUAGCUAAUACCGCAUACCAUCGGAUGUGCCCAGAUGGGAUUAGCUAGUAGGUGGGGUAACGGUUCACCUAGACGACGAUCCCUAGCUGAUCUGAGAGGAUGACCAGCCAGACUGGAAGUGAGACACAGUCCAGACUCCUACGAGAGGCAGCAGUGGGGAAUAUUGCACAAUGGGCGCAAGCCUAAUGCAGCCAUGCCGCGUGUAUGAAGAAGGACUUCGGGUUGUAAAGUACUUUCAGCGAGGAGGCGUUACCCGCAGAAGAAGCACCGGCUAACUCCGUGCCAGCAGCCGCGGUAAUAC
rnacentral:rRNA from 1 species